GACGAACGCUGGCGGCGUGCCUAACACAUGCAAGUCGAACGGAAAGGCCCUGCUUUUGUUUGGUGCUCGAUUGACGAACGGGUGAGUAACACGUGAUUAACCUGCCCUUGACUUUGGGAUAACGUCAGGAAACUGGGGCUAAUACCGGCUAGUAGCUCCUGCUGCUUGGUGGUGGUUGGUAAGUUUCGGCGGUGGGGGAUGGACUCGCGGCUUAUCAGCCUGUUGGUGUGGUAGUGGCUAACCAAGGCAAUGACGGAUAGCCGGCCUGAGAGGGUGACACGGCACAUAGGGCCUGGGAUAGGGGCAAGACGGCUACGGGAGGCAUCGGUGGGGAAUAGUGCGCGAUGGGCGGAGGGAGGGUGCAGCAUCGCCGCGUCGGGGAUGACGGCUUUCGGGUUGGAAACCGCUUGCGACUGUGACGAAGAGUGAGUGACGGUAAUGUGUAAAGAAGCAACGGCUAACUACGUG
rnacentral:rRNA from 1 species